rnacentral:lncRNA from 1 species
CAGAGAUGCUCAGAGGGCUGGAGCACUUCUGCUAUGGAGUCAGGCUGAGAGAGCUGGGUGUGUUCAGCCUGGAGAGGAGAAAGCUCCAGAACACCUUCCAGUGCCUAAAGGGGUUACAGGAGAGCUGAGAGGGACUUUGAACAGGGGCAUGGAGUGACAGGACAAGGGGGAAUGGCUUCAAACAAGAAGGCAGGUUUAGACUGGAUAUUGGGAAUAAAUUGUUCCCUGUGAGGAUGAUGAAGCCCUGGCACAGGCUGCCCAAAGAAACCAUGGAUGCCCCAUCCCUGGAAGUGCUUGAGGCCAGUAAAGCCACCAAAGCAUUGCAAUUCCGAUUUGAGAAACAAAUGGAGCCACAGACCUUCGUCACAUCUCAGCAGAAAAUCAUUCAGAUCUUCCUGGAGUCCCCUUGGAGACCAGGGUGUCCAUGGCAGAUUCCUGUGGCUCCUGUACACUGGUGAAGAUGCUGAGAGGAAUGAGGGCAUUUUGACUGUCCCAUGCUGUAGAAGGCUUAAUUCUUAAUUACUAAUUAAUUCUUUAUGAGUCUUUUGUUAGCCUUGCCAAAUUCAACAGUCACAUUAAUGAUAGGUAUCUCUCCAAACUGGAAUUUGUUUCAAUUGUGUUUUAUUUUUAAGAAGAUGAGUGAACCCACAAGAAUUCCCUCUGCAGGAUACAUCUUCAGUCAUUUCACCACUCCUAAGAAUAAACUAACUCCCUGCUGAGUUAUUCA